AGAGCGAGUCCCUCAACUCCCAUGUCCGUUCCUUCAUAAGAGACUUUAUCGAUUACGACUGGAAGAACUGAACUGAUCCAGGAAGAAGAGUUCCGGCCACACCAGUGGGUAAGAGACCAGGCUACCCCCUGAUGUGUGUGCACCUGAGUUGCCAGCUAUGAUCAAAGCCAUCUGAACAGGCAUGUUAUU